CCCUCCCCUAAAUCACUCCAAAAAAAACAAUCCCCAAUUCUACACAAGUGUUUCUACACUAACAAAGCAACAGCUCCUUAACGAAUUCCCAACUUUACACGAGCUCGUCUCUCGAGGUUAAAUGUUAUUACUUGGUAAGAUUCCGGACCUCGCCAAGUGUUUUGAAAACCCGCAACGCUCGCAAAGGUGCAUAGUGAGAAUAAUAAGUGAAGAGACAGACUUGUCCAAAACGCCCACCACGAAGGUGCAUAGUGAGAAGAGUAAGUCAAGAGAUAGACUUGUCCAAAAAGAAACGGAAGAGAAAGCUUGGGGAGACGCUCACGAAGGUGCAUAGUGAGAAGAGUAAGUCAAGAGAUAGACUUGUUCAAAAAGAAACAGAAGAGAAUGCUUGGGGUUACACUCACGAAGGUGCAUAGUGAGAAGAGUAAGUCAAGAGACAGACUUGUUCAAAAAGAAACGAAAGAGAAUGCUUGGGGAGAUAGAAGUGUGAGAUAGUUCUCAAGCUAAGAAAGUUGUAAAAGCUAAGAACUAGCAAGUAAUCGUCCAGGAUUCCUCCACCAGGACUUGAAAUCGUCGAGGGAAAAAAAUCGGUUCCGAGGAAUCGUCGAUCCGGACUUGGAAUCGUUGAGAAAAGUUUACCGGGUCCGAGGAUUUGUCGACCAGGAGUGGAAAUCGUCGAGAAAAAUCUAUCGGGUCCGAGGAAUCGUCGACCAGGACGAGGAAUCGUCGACCGGGUCCGAGGAUUUGUCGACCAGGGGUUGAAAUCGUCGACCAGGUCCGAGACUUCAUCGACCGGGUCCGAGGAUUCGUCGAC
rnacentral:misc_RNA from 1 species